rnacentral:rRNA from 1 species
UACGGAGGGUGCAAGCGUUGUCCGGAUUUAUUGGGUUUAAAGGGUGCGUAGGCGGCCCGUUAAGUCAGCGGUGAAAUCCCAGGGCUCAACCCUGGAACUGCCGUUGAUACUGGCGGGCUUGAGUUCGGUGAAGGCAGGCGGAACUGGCGGUGUAGCGGUGAAAUGCUUAGAUACCGCCAAGAACCCCGAUUGCGUAGGCAGCUCGCUGUGCCGAAACUGACGCUGAGGCACGAAAGCGUGGGGAGCGAACAGG